UUUAUGUUUUGCUGAUGAUUAUCCAGUCAGAUGGGCUCUUUCUCAGAUAUUUGUGGUAACUACUCAGUCAAACAUUAAAAUAUCAUCUUCAGUUACCUUUUAUAGAACAUAAAAAAAAGGAGAAUUAAUCUAUAUGGGAUUUCCCUGUCUUCUUUCCCUUUCCUCCUUUCAUAUCCCUGAAAAUAAGAACAAGAAGCUAAAACCUCAGCUCUAUCCAAGUUACAGAGAAUGCAGUCAUAGUAAUUUUAAUGUAAGUGGUUUCAAAGUAUGUCUUUGCACAUUCCAAUUCAUAGCUAUCCCACUGGAACCCAUGGAGGUCAGUUCUAAUUUAUGUCAAGCUGCUGUGGUCACAGAGAGCUGAAAAUAAAGCCCAGCACUUAGCAUUAACAGAAAAAGUUUUUCUUUAUUUUUAUGGAAAAAAAUAGAAGGAAAAAGAAAAAUGAUGUGAGAAUCUUUGUGGGAGGUCUAUGCACAGAGUAUUUUUUCUUGAUCUCCUUAAGAUUAAGGAAGCUUAAGGAAGAUCUUCCUUAGCAACCCAAUGUCCAUCUACAUAUAAAAUACACUUCCUGAUCUUCAAAAGAAAUUUCUACCAAAACUGGCUAAUAAAGCCCUCUCUCAAACUCAUCAGAUAAUGUAAUUUUUUGAAUAUUACUUUCUAUAAUGCCAGUCACAGAUGUCAUAUACUGUGCCCUGCACAUUAAAUUAGGCUGUUAAUUGCAUUAGGACAGAAAAAAAAUAAUAAGAGUAGCUCACAGAGAGACCAGGUGAUAUAUGACUGAAGUGAUAUAGUAAGAUAGUGAAUUUUUUUAAAUUAAAUUUAGUUUUACAAAACUUGAUAAUGGUUUGAAUUACUUGAGUAUCAGUUGAAAAGUGAGUGUAUUACUUGUGUAGAGGGGAUAAUGUCCACUCCGCCUUUAGUGUCUAGAUUGUCUUCAUUCUGCACUAUAUUUAUUAUGCAUUUAUUAUGCAAAACUGUUUUAUCCUCGUCUUUAUUAUCAGCCUGUGUAUGGCAGUUGUAUGUCUGUUCAUCAUUGUUCAGUAUAAUUCCCCAUUGAUUAAAAUCACUUUGGAAAAUUAAAGCCUUUCCUCAAGCUUGGACAAAAAUAUCUUCAGUUCCUGAAAAGUCUUUUCACUAUGGCAGGAGGUUUUAAGAAGUAAUUCAUAUUUAUGUUCCUUUCAGAGAAAUGUUCUUGGGAAAUGACAUGUACUAUGGUACUGGAAACUUUAUCUUCCUGUCAGAGCUGAUGUGGUAAAGUCAACUGAACAAGAUAAUAACAUAUCUCUUGUAAAGGUGGAAGGGAAAUAGCUUCCUUGACUGAAGAUUGAAAUGAAGGCCCUGACACUAAGGCACGGCAGAAAUCAGGGGAGAAAGGUGCAAAUCUGAGAAGCAGUCAUUUCUUGGGUAUCUUUGCUAUCCUUCAUUCAUUAGCAAGGUUAAAGAGAAUGUUCAGCGGGAGUUUUUGUAUUUAUCUUGUUGAGCUCUGUGCAACCACAAAUGUAUUUUCAGUAUCCAUUGCUACUUGCCUACAAUUAGGCUAGAGGUAUGGACCAAACAGAAGAACUAAAAGCAGCAGCAAUGGGAAGAGUAAUUGGAAAUAUCUGAUUAAUGUCACAGAGAAUGUCACAUAACAACUGAAGCAAAAUAACUCAACUAAAAGCCAAUAAAAGUGCCACUAUUUCUGGACAUUUGUAGGUAUCCAAUAUACUUUUACAUAAAAGUUUACAGUUGUAUUAAACUCCAGCAGUGAAUGAAUUUAGCUACUUGAUGUCACAGCAGCAGCAUUUAUCUGAAACCAAUGAAUGUAUUCUAGAAUAGAAGCUUGCUCUGCUCAAGUUUUUCUUUUGUUUUUAUUGGUUACGUUACAAUCUUGUGUUUCUUUUUUAUUUAUGGCCAUAAGGUUUUGAUUGUGGAUUUUUUUUAUUUUUUUUCCUUUUCCCACCCCAAAAUAUUUAUGUAUCAAAAGAAAACUUGAUUGGUUACUGAAAAAAACUUCUCUACUUAAUUUGAAGCAUUAUCAAGAUGCAUUUUUGACUGGUUAUUGGUCAUCAGAAAUAGCUCAUUAUCUAUUACAGUUAAAUAUUCAGUUUUGUUAAAUAUUCCCUAUUAGUUUAUAACAUAAAAGGAGGGGCAAAAGGGCAGUUUUUAUUGACAAGACUUUGAAGAUAAAAAAUUUACUAACCAUUCAAUCUACAAAAGAAAGGGAUCUAAAUGAAAUAUAAACCACACACAGGUCUUCACUAAUGAACAUUAACAAGUCCAGACGUCUUUAUCUUUUUAUAGAAACAGACUCUUUACUUCCAGCUGACCCAGCACAUCAGCCAAAAUUGUUCCAAUAAUGUUUAUUACUUCUCUUGCAGCAUUUACUGGGUUAAUUAAAAAAACCCUAAAAACAAACCAACAGAAGCCAAAAACCUAGUUGCAAUGAAAAGCUUUAGGUUAUAAUUCCAUCUGGUUUAAAUGCGUGUUUUUAGUUACACAAAGAAUCAAAAGGCUGCCAAAACUCCAGCUAUGACCCCUAUUACAAUAUCUGCAAAAUAAAUGAUCCUGGCUUAUUUGAACAAAGAAUAUGCUUGUGCUUUCUCUUUAUUAAUGCAGAAAUUUUCACAAUAUGCACCAUGAUGACAGAUUUUCUGAUUCUAGUCUCCAAUAACAAUCUUUUCACUGAUUAUGAUGGCAGCAAAUCUCAUUUUACCAGCUAAGAAUACCAUUCUAUGAGUUGUGAAUUAUAUAAAUGCUAAGAACUCCAAAUAUACCAGAAUAAAUUCUUGAAAGAAUCACUGCUAUAAUACAACAGCAACUAUAAAACUUCACGGUUUUCUGGAAAGUGCAGAUAGGGAAUAAAUUCUUAAUUAAAUUAAACAUUAAGACAAGAUACAAGAAUCUUGAUAAAAACAGGCAUAAACGAACAAUACUUAAGGAUCUGGUGGAAGUGUUCACCUACCAUUUGCAAUCAUUUACCAACAGUCCUGGCUUUCUGGGGAGGUCCCAGUUGACUGAAGCUUAGCAAAUGUGCGACCCAUGUACAGGAAGGGUGAGAGGAGGAUCUGGUGAACUACAGCCUGUCAGCCUGAUCUUGGUACCAGAAAGGUCAUGGAGCAGCUCAAGUGCUAUCACAGGCAUGUGCACGACAACUAAGGGAUUGGGCCCAGCCAACAGGGCUUUAGAGAAGGCAGGUCCUGUUUGACCAACCUGAUCUCAAAGUAUGACCAGGUGACCUGUUUAGUGAGUGGGCCAAAAGUUUUGGAUGUUGUCUGCCUGGAAUCCAGCAAAGAUUUUCACAUUGUCUCCCACAGCAUUCUCUUGGAGAAACUGGUUGCUUGUGCCUUGGAUGGGUAUACUUAUUCUGUCCUGGGGUGACUUUAUGAUACUGGUAUCCCCAGUCGUCUGGUUUAUGUUAUAUAUUAAGCUCUUCACCUUUAA